rnacentral:rRNA from 1 species
GAUGAACGCUGGCGGCGUGCCUAACACAUGCAAGUCGAACGGAAAGGCCCUGCUUUUGUGGGGUGCUCGAGUGGCGAACGCGUGAGUAACACGUGAGUAACCCGUCCUUGAAAUUCGGAUAACUUCACGAAAAAGGGGCUAAUACCGGAUAGGAGCUCUUGCUGCACGGUGGUGGUUGGUAAGAGUCGGCGGUUGGGGAUCGACUAGCGGCUUAUCCGCUUGAUGGUGGGGUAGUGGAUUUCCAAGGCUAUGACGGGUAGCCGACCUGGGAGGGUGGACGGCCACAAUGGGACUGAGAGACGGACCAGUAUCCUACGGUAGGCAGUAGGGGGGAGUAUUGCGGAAUGAGCGGGAGCGUGAUGCAGCAGCGCUGCGUGCGGAAUAACGUCCUUCGGGUGGAAAACCGCUUUCGCCUGUGACGAAGAGUGAGUGACGGUAAUUGGUAAAAAAGCACCGGCUAACUACGUG